rnacentral:piRNA from 1 species
GUGGACAUCUUUGUUUUUUUCCAG